rnacentral:rRNA from 1 species
GAUGAACGCUGGCGGCGUGCUUAACACAUGCAAGUCGAACGGAAAGGCUCCUGCUUGCCGGGGUACUCGAGUGGCGAACGGGUGAGUAACACGUGGGUGAUCUGCCCUGCACUUCGGGAUAAGCCUGGGAAACUGGGUCUAAUACCGGAUAGGACCAUCGUUUAGUGUCGGUGGUGGAAAGUUUUUUCGGUGUGGGAUGAGCUCGCGGCCUAUCAGCUUGUUGGUGGGGUAAUGGCCUACCAAGGCGUCGACGGGUAGCCGGCCUGAGAGGGUGUACGGCCACAUUGGAACUGAGAUACGGCCCAGACGCCUACGGGAGGCAGCAGUGGGGAAUAAUGAACAAUGGGCGCAAGCCUGAUGCAGCGACGCCGGGUGGGGGAUGACGGCCUUCGGGUUGUAAACUCCUUUCGCCAGGGACGAAGCGAAAGUGACGGUACCUGGAUAAGAAGCUCCGGCUAACUACGUG